GAACUGCCGAGGAGUCCCAUGAUGGGACGAAACGGCCGUCCAGUGC
rfam:Schistosoma mansoni strain Puerto Rico chromosome W, complete genome